UACGAGGGGGGCAAGCGUUGUUCGGAAUUAUUGGGCGUAAAGGGUGCGUAGGCGGUUGGGUAAGUCUGAUGUGAAAUCUCACAGCUUAACUGUGAAACUGCAUUGGAUACUAUCCGGCUAGAGGAAUGGAGGGGAGACUGGAAUACUUGGUGUAGCAGUGAAAUGCGUAGAUAUCAAGUGGAACACCAGUGGCGAAGGCGAGUCUCUGGACAUUUCCUGACGCUGAGGCACGAAAGCCAGGGGAGCAAACGGG
rnacentral:rRNA from 1 species